GCCCAGAUAGCUCAGUUGGUAGAGCAACGGAUUGAAAAUCCGUGUGUCGGUGGUUCGAAUCCGCCUCUGGGCACCA
rnacentral:tRNA from 1 species